CGGUGAGGGAGGAGGCGGGGCUAAACCGGCCUGGAGCAAAGGGAGAAGGCGGGGUUAACGCCGCCUGGCGCUGAGGUGGGAGAUGGGGCGAAAGCGGCCCAGAGCGGCAGGAGGUGUGAAGGCUUUAUUCCUUCACCUGACUUAUAUUCACUGGGAGCCCGUUAUGUGUCGAGAUCUGAGAGCGAAGGCUUCGUUUUCCAGGUCUCUCCAAAAGGUAAGCCCAUCUCCAGGUAAGAAACGUUGUUUUGUUUUAGGAUCAGUGUGUGUGCUUGCAGAAAUCUGUUCAUUUGUAGCAAGCCGUGUUCCCGAACCCCAAGUUCGGCUGCCCGUGGCUCCAAAGGCCAAUACUCAAGAGGUGAGUUUUGCUUGGAAAGGAAUAUGAAUUUUAUUCAGGAGGCUGGCCACCUGAGGAGAAGGCAGACUCUUCUCCAAAUGCCGACUCCGCCGAGGUUUCUGCCUGGCCCAGGGAUUUUUCAAGGGAUUCAGGGCAGGUCAUCGGUACAGGGAAUGCAGUGAUCCCAACAUUUCUCGAUUAUGUGCAGACUUGCUGUGCCAGCUAGAGACGUUAUCACUGCUCUGGGAGAUUGUGCAAGGGGGUCUGGUUCCUUAGUGCCUGGGGAUUGCUGCAAGGGGGUCUGGUUUCUGUUUCGUGACUUGCAGAAGUGCUGUCCUUUCUAGAAAGAGUGCAUGAUCUCUAUACCAAAAAAGGUGAGUCAGCCAAUCAGUGGGACUGAGGGUGUUUGCUGAAGUUUAGAUUACCACACUGGCCGAGGCCGCUUCAGCAACGCUGGUUGUCCAUUUAAGAAGUGAUGUAAAUUUUGCUGGGUAAAUUUAAGUUAAAACUGGGAGUCUAUUUUAAGAAAAAAAAAUUGGGAACUGUUUCACUUAUAUAUAUAACAGUGCAGGUGGUAUGCAGAUAUGGCAACAACGAUGAGAGGAGAGUGUCACACAAAUGACUAAGUAGGGGAACAUUUACCUGGGAAUAUAAGAACCUGUAGAGUUUGGCAUCCUAAAAUAUUUAGAUUGGAAGAAGCCUUAGAAAUAUCUGAAUCUGUUUUUUUACAGAAAUGGAAAAAGGCUCAAAGUGAAAUGGUUUACCCAAGGCCACAGAAAAAGUUGAUGGCAGAGGAAGGAGAAUUACUUAAGCUUUCCUAAUUCCUACCUGAGCUCUUCACCCGACCCCCACCCUUACCACUCAAUACCUGCCCAAGUGGAGUUGCCUCAUGGUCACUGAACCUUUCAG
rnacentral:lncRNA from 1 species